AGGUAAUCAAUUCUAAUUUUAAAAAUAAAGCAUUCAGAGAAAAUGCUGAUGGAUAUUUCGAAAUUUUGUUGACAAUAUAUCCUAAAAAGCUACAAAUUCAACAAAAAUCAAGAUUUUGUCAUUCCACAUGUGCAACACCCUCCAAAAUGCCCAAACUGCAUUCUUUAUGCGUUGCAUUCGACUUUGAAAUAUUCUCUUCUGCUGAGCAAUCUAACUUAACACAAGAAAAUCUGUAUGAAGUUUUCUAAAAAUAGUCCCAUGAAUAAUUUGUUUUAUUUUUUUUGUCGUGGAUGGAUGGAUGGACGAUGAUCUAUGAAAAUUAUGGAUUUUCUACAUGUUUUCAUAUAUUUUGACAGGUGAUAUCAGUUAGCCUUCAACCGAUUCUUGAAAAUAAUAAAGGAGGACACAAAAUGAAGACAACAAAACAUUGUUGCAUGUUCUACAAGUGAAUCACGUACUACACCAGAUCCAUGAACCAGGAGGAC